rnacentral:rRNA from 1 species
CGCCAGAGUACUACGAGCUACAGCUUAAAACUCAAAGGACUUGGCGGUGCUCUACACCCCCCUAGAGGAGCCUGUUCUAUAAUCGAUAAUCCCCGAUAAACCUCACCAUCUAUUGCCAAUACAGCCUAUAUACCACCGUCCAGCCCACCCUUUAAGGGAUAAACAGUAGGCACAACUAUAAACAUAAAAACGUCAGGUCAAGGUGUAGCAGAUAAGAUGGGAAGAAAUGGGCUACNUUUUCUAACAUAGAAAACCACGGAAAAGUUUAUGAAACCAAACUAUAAAGGAGGAUUUAGCAGUAAAAAGAAAGAAGAGUGUUCUUUUUAAACCGGCAAUGGAGCGCGCACACACCGCCCGUCACCCU